UGCCUUGUGGGGUAAUUGGCAGCCCACUGGAUUUUGGUUCCGGGAGUUCAGGUUCGAGCCCUGGCGAGGCAG
rnacentral:tRNA from 1 species